GCAACUCAAAGCGGAGGAAGCACUAGAUGUCCCGGAAGAUCCUCCAACACGCUCAAGGCUUAAGGAGCUCAACCCAUCAACCAAUGGAAGACUUAGGGAACUCGACAAGAAGCAAGCAGACGUGGCUCAAGUCUCCUCAAUAAUCAUCACGGCUCAAAAGGUUUGGUAAAGGGUUAAGUGUUGCUUAUGCACUCUUUUUCCCUUGUCAAGUUUUGUCCCAUUGGGUUUUCUUGACAGGGUUUUU
rnacentral:lncRNA from 1 species